AGAGAUAAGGGAGUCUUCUCGAUUCAAAAGACCUAGCAAUAGUUAUGCCCUAGGGAGGAGCUUGCGUCACAUUAGUUAGUUGGUGGGGUAAAGGCCUACCAAGACUAUGAUGUGUAGCCGGGCUGAGAGGUUGAACGGCCACAUUGGGACUGAGACACGGCCCAAACUCCUACGGGAGGCAGCAGUAGGGAAUUUUCGGCAAUGGAGGAAACUCUGACCGAGCAACGCCGCGUGAACGAUGAAGUAUUUCGGUACGUAAAGUUCUUUUAUUAGGGAAGAAUAAAUGAUGGAAAAAUCAUUCUGACGGUACCUAAUGAAUAAGCCCCGGCUAACUAUGUGCCAGCAGCCGCGGUAAUACAUAGGGGGCAAGCGUUAUCCGGAAUUAUUGGGCGUAAAGGGUGCGUAGGCGGUUAAAUAAGUUUAUGGUCUAAGUGCAAUGCUCAACAUUGUGAUGCUAUAAAAACUGUUUAGCUUAGAAUAAGAUAGAGCCAAGUGGAAUUCCCAUGUGUAGUGGUAAAAUGCGUAAAUAUAUGGAGGGACCCACAGUAGCGAAAGCCGGCUUGCUGGGUCUUUACUGACCCUGAGGCCCGAAAACGGUGGGGAGCCAACAAGGAUUAGAUACCCUGGGAGGCCACCGCCGUAAACCAUGAGGACUAAACGUGGGGGAAAACCCAGUGUUGGAAGUUACCACAUUAAAUACCUCCGCCGGAGAAGUACCGUACGCAAGUAUGAAACUUUAAAGGAAUUGACGGGCCUCCGCACAAGCGGUGGAUCAUGUUGUUUAAUUCGAAGGUACCCGAAAAACCUCACCAGGUCUUGACAUGCUUCUGCAAAACUGUAGAAACACAGUGGAGGUUAUCAGUUGCACAGGUGGUGCAUGGUUGUCGUCAGCUCGUGUCGUGAGAUGUUGGGUUAAGUCCCGCAACGAGCGCAACCCUUAUUGUUAGUUACCAGCACGUAAUGGUGGGGACUUUAGCAAGACUGCCAGUGAUAAAUUGGAGGAAGGUGGGGACGACGUCAAAUCAUCAUGCCCCUUAUGACCUGGGCUCCAAACGUGAUACAAUGGCUGUUACAAAGGGUAGCUGAAGCGCAAGUUUUUGGCGAAUCUCAAAAAAACAGUCUCAGUUCGGAUUGAAGUCUGCAACUCGACUUCCAUGGGGUUGGAAUCGCUAGUAAUCGCUUUAAAUUAGACCCCUUUUUAGUGUGAA
rnacentral:rRNA from 1 species